UACGUAGGGGGCUAGCGUUGUCCGGAAUCAUUGGGCGUAAAGCGCGUGUAGGCGGCCCGGUAAGUCCGCUGUGAAAGUCGGGGGCUCAACCCUCGGAUGCCGGUGGAUACUGUCGGGCUCGAGUACGGAAGAGGCGAGUGGAAUUCCUGGUGUAGCGGUGAAAUGCGCAGAUAUCAGGAAGAACACCCGUGGCGAAAGCGGCUCUCUGGGACGGUACUGACGCUGAGACGCGAAAGCGUGGGGAGCGAACAGG
rnacentral:rRNA from 1 species